rnacentral:rRNA from 1 species
GCUUACGGCCAUACCAGCCUGGGUAUGGCCGAUCUUGUCUGAUCUCGGAAGCUAAGCAGGGUCGGGCCUGGUUAGUACUUUGAUGGGAGACCGCCUGGGAAUACCAGGUGCUGUAAGCA